GACAAAACCAGCUUAAUACUGCUCAAAACAACAAUUUUCUCACCAUCUCUCUCUUCCCCAUGUCCUUCCCGUCAUCUCUUUCCCUUCAUAUUGACUUAAGGAUUGCCACAAGCGUCAACGUUGGAGAUGCGCCAGGCACAUUUGAAGCAUUUGCUGCUGUAGGCUGAGACUCCGAGUGAACCGAACUUGAAGGGGAAAAAGUCGACUGCCCAUAUUACGAAGAUAGAAUUAAGUCUACUUUUAAAUCACGGAUCCAUAAAUAGUUUUCAGUUAUUAGAAGUUGUUCAGCUUGCCUCUGACACACAAGAGUGGACAUUGUUCUCCCUCAACGGAAUGGCAAUAUGAGCAUGCUCCUUACAUGGUGAAUCUGCAUUUAGCAAGAAAAAAAAUCACAGAUUUUGCACCUUCCUUGAUAUGAAAAGAAUUUAAAAAAAGUACAGCAAAUACCAAACAGAAAAGAAACGUGCCUGCAAUUUCUGCAACAGUUGCUCUAGGAGCCCCGUGAUGAGAAUUUGCUUCACAAUUUUUGAUAUCAUGAUUGAUCCUGAUUUUUCCAAUGGCCCGUUAACAUGAGAGAAAAAUUCAACCACUAGAUAGAACCAAGUGCGGUUGCUGGACCCCACGAAUUUUAGGAAUUUCAGAAGGUCAUUCUAACAAAUGAUGUACGCCCUGCUUGCUGUAUGCGCAUAUAAUGUAUAUAUGUGUGGGCCAUCGAGGGGCAAAAGUGAAAGUGCACGAAUUUUAACGUUAUUUUACUAACUUCGUGAAAAUAACGUUAAAAGCUGAGGACGGUUAAUUUUGCAUCAUGUGGUAGCGUUGAUAGCUGAGAGACAAAAGGGUACAUUCACUACUCGGUCUUUGUCCCGAGUGUUGAGUGUUAUGUGCCUUAUGUCCAAGGCUUAAUGCAAAACUACUAUCGAGCCGGGGGUCUCACUGGAAGCAGCCUCUCUAUUCCUACGGGGUAGAGGUAAGGCUGUCUACAUCUUACCCUCCUCAGACCCUACCUUAGCUUUGCUAUUGGUGGGAUUAACUGAGUAUGAUGAUGAUGAUGAUGAUGAUGAUGAUUCUAACAAAUGAUGACACAACAGGGCUGCAAACGAACUGAACGAUGUUCAUUUGUUAAGGAAUAUAUGUGUUCACGAACUGUUUAUGAACACUUACCGAACGAGAUUUUAUGCUCACGUUCGUUUGUUAAGGAAAUGAACAAAUUUGUGUUUGUUUGUUAAUUUAGGCAAAGAACGCAAACGAGCGUUCAUGAACACAAAUGGAAACAAACGAACACAAACAAGUGUUCAUGAACAUAAUAUAUAAUAAACUUAUUGAUGCCGUUAUAAAAUAUAUUUUAUUUGUUGGAGUUUUGAAGUAAUUAAAUAAAAUAUACAAACUGAAAAUACCAAUGAAGUUUUGAACACGAACGAACACGUUAUCGAACGUUCACGAACAUAGAUGAACGAACGCGACCUCUGUUCAUGUUCGUUCAUUUACGAAACGAACGAACACAAACAAACUUCCCGCUGAAAGGUUCACGAGCUGUUCGCUGAACGUUAGGUUCGUUUGCAGCCCGACACAAGACCAUAAUGUUCUGCCUUGUCCUGUAUCUGACCAUGAUGUGCACAUUAUACAAGAUUAACUACUUACAUGACAGUUCAUUUAUAAGCAUGUUCGUUUCUUUUUUGUUUCAACUUUCAUGAUACGGUGAUAGCAUGAGAAAUCGUCAUGUUUAUGUCCUAAUAUUUAUGAAUAGUUUUUUUCCUACGCGCUGCCGCUACCUGUCAUCUUCUCCGUCUUUUUCUGUUGUGUUGUUUUCUUCGUUUGCCAAGAUUAAUGAGUAAGCAGCUCUAUCCUGCAUCAAGGUAAGGCAUCAUCUGUUAUCGAUAAGUUGUGGUAGAUUGCUUUGAACUACGUUAUUCUGUAGUAACAAAUCUCUGACCUCUUCAUCCAUAUGUGUCAUAGUUUCUUGAACAACUUUAAAAGAAACUUCCAGCAUCCCUAGUUCCGAACGCAAGGCCUGAUAAUUUUAAGAAAAAAACUAUUGUGUGAAACAGAGACUAAACAGUAAACAGGCUUUAGUGCAUACCUUGUUCUCUAAAAUUAAGGUCUCAAUGAUCCCUUCUUUCAUUAGCAUAGCUUCCUGAAGGUAAGGUUGGUUAAGCCAAAUUGACAUUGCUGAUUAAGUUUUUGUAAAAUAUAAAACAAAACAUCUAGAUAUAAGAUGAUAUGGAUAUCUCCUCUAUUUUUGACCGACGUUGAUCGGUUAUUUUUGCUGUCUCCAGCUGUGUCUGGAGCUCUGCAAUCACCCUAUCUUUUCUGUACAACUCAUUCUCGUUACUUUUGAGUUUAGCUUCAAGGUCAUUGUUUUUUUCUGCACAAAACAGACUGUCAAUAUUCGGUAUCUUAAACAUGGCAGUAAUGAAAAUGAAACAACUGCGUUACCAAUGAGUAAGCCCUCAAAUUCACAUACUUUAUCCAUUUGUAUCUUUAAACGAGCCACUGAGAAUAGAAAGAGAGUUUAUCAGUGACGCAAAAUAGGUGAUAUAAGCGAUUGACCCUUCAAGUGAAACAGGACAUGCCUACUUCCUCUUUCUCAUCAACAGCAUGUUGUGCGUUAUCCACUACUUGCUUGACUAAGGACGCCUCCUUGCGUAUCGAGUCCAAUGAUAAAAGAUGAGUGUUUAUUUUCUCGGAAAGCGUGGCAAUCUUUCUAUCUCUGGAUUCAAUGGAUCUUUUCAUUUCACAGGUAGAUUCCUGCGAGAAAAUCACAUUUAGAUUAUAUAUAAGCUUCUCGUCUCAGGUCGUUUUAACAAGAAUCCUCACUUGUUUUCGACACCGACCAUUUGAAUCGCGUAAUAACAACUUGCAGAUACAAAAUAAACCGCAUAAUAACAACUUGCAGAUAAGACUUUCACUUAGAAAAACAUGUUUAUCGUAUGUAUAUUUGGGACCUGGUAAGCAUUGAGGAAAGCUUCCUUAGCUUGUAAUAUGCAGUUUAUAGUUUCCUUAAGUUCUUUAUGCUUGCUUUGAAGUAGAUAAUUUUCAUCUUCAAGGAACUGCACCUGUCCACCACAAACCCUAAAUUCAAAACAACUCCUCCAAGUGUGUAUCCAAUAUACAUUUAUUUAGGCAUCAUUAGUUAUUCGAUAAGGCAUACGAUAGGAAAAUUUGUGUAUUUAUUUAUAUUAAAGCAGCAGAAGAUGAUAAAGAAAUAGAUACAUUAUAUUAUACCUUGCGUUGGAGUUGUUGGGUGAGUUGAAUAGAUGAAGCUAACUCUGCUUCCAACUCCGUUAUCUUUCUACAUGAUUCUUCUUCACUUUGCUUCCAUUUCUGAACUCAAUUUGAACAACUUAGUUAUACGAAGAAUUUGUGCUAAAAGUUGAUUUAUAAGAACCUGGAAUUGACUGUGAAGUUGAUCGGAAGAAACAGCUCCUUUUUCCUGAAGAGAAUGAUGGCGGUUGAUUGUAAGGAUGAAGAAUCGAUUUAAGAGGAUGGAGAUUAGAAAGAAUAUUACUUACUCUGAGUUCACGAACUUCCGUGAUUAGGGUUUGGAGCUUCAGCUUGAAUUCCGAGACUUUGCUCUCCUUCAUUUUGCCGCUAACAAUUUCCACUGCAACUCUGUUUUUAUUGUUUCGUUUCAAAUUCACUUAAUUACACGUGUACUCCUUGUGUACCUGAUUACUUUUUGUUGGAAUCGCGAAUUUGUAUACUUUC
rnacentral:lncRNA from 1 species